CACGGGGGUUGCGAGCGUUGUCCGGAAUUACUAGGCGUAAAGGGCAGGUAGGCGGAGAUGUAAGUUUGAUGUUAAAGGUACUGGCUCACCCAGUGUACGGCAUCAGAUACUGCAUUUCUUGAAUACGGUUGGGGAAGACAGAAUUCCUGGUGUAGCGGUGGAAUGCGCAGAGAUCAGGAGGAAUACCGAAGGCGAAGGCAGUCUUCUAAGCCGGUUAUUGACGCUAAACUGCGAAGGUGUGGGUAUCAAACAGGAUUAGAUAC
rnacentral:rRNA from 1 species